GUUUCGGUGGCUUAGUGGUUAAAGCGUCUGCCUCGGAUGCGGGAGGUCGGGGUUUCGAACCCCGGUCUAAGCG